rnacentral:rRNA from 1 species
CUAAGUUUGAUGGCGACCGGCGCACGGGUGAGUAACACGUAUUCAACCUGCCGAUGACUCGGGGAUAGCCUUUCGAAAGAAAGAUUAAUACCCGAUGGCAUAGUUCUUCCGCAUGGUAGAACUAUUAAAGAAUUUCGGUCAUCGAUGGGGAUGCGUUCCAUUAGGUUGUUGGCGGGGUAACGGCCCACCAAGCCUUCGAUGGAUAGGGGUUCUGAGAGGAAGGUCCCCCACAUUGGAACUGAGACACGGUCCAAACUCCUACGGGAGGCAGCAUG